AUUCCAGCUCCAAUAGCGUAUAUUUAAGUUGUUGCAGUUAAAAAGCUCGUAGUUGGAUUUUGGGUCGGGGGCACCGGUCCGCCGUUCCGGUGUGCACUGGUGGCCCCUUCCUUUCUGCCGGGGACGUGCGUCGCACUUAAUUGGGUGGCGUUCGGAGUCGGCGUUGUUACUUUGAAAAAAUUAGAGUGUUCAAAGCAAGCCAUCGCUCUGAAUACAUUAGCAUGGAAUAACAUGAUAGGACUCCGGUCUUAUUUUGUUGGUUUCCGAGACUGGAGUAAUGAUUAAGAGGGACAGUCGGGGGCAUCCGUAUUUCAUUGUCAGAGGUGAAAUUCUUGGAUUUAUGAAAGACGAACUUCUGCGAAAGCAUUUGCCAAGGAUGUUUUCAUUG
rnacentral:rRNA from 1 species